GCUUAUGGAACAAAAGCGAAGAACGCGGCAUUGUGCCGCCACGUCCUGUGGCAGUCGCCCGACUAGAUCGUCCGUAUCGUCGCAACGCUUUUAUGACCCACAUCAUGUGGG
rnacentral:sRNA from 1 species